CAGAGAUCGAGAGGGGGAAAGCUAGGGAGGGAGAGAAAGAGAGAAGUAGGGAGAGAGAGAAGGGGAGGACAGAAGGAAGGAAGAAAGAUUGAAAAUCUGUAUUUUAGUCUCUCCUCGCUCAAGGCCACUAACCCGUGCGAUUACUCCUUGGAACGAAGGAUGAUAAACGUCUUCAAUGACUCACUUGAGCAGCUCAUCUUCCCUUUAUAUGCCAUCCAUUCCCUCCUCUUUCUUUCCUCCCUUCCCUCGCUCUCUUUCAACUCAAGUCUAAGUUAUGUGAUCUUACAGGUGUCCUGUCUCGGGCCUGAAUAUGCUGGGUCUCAAGGGGUGUAAAUUACUUGACAUGCCCAUCUGACACUAUCUUCUCUUUGGAUACAAAAGCGCCUCUCUCAGCAUCUCUGAGUUUCUACUGUAUUUCUCAGACGUGUUUAGUAAGGAGCGUUGGCCAAAGUUUUGAGUAAUGACAAUAUUCUAAUUUUAGGUGAUUUAUACUGAGCGUUUGUCAGGAAAGCAGCUCCAGGAUAUCGAUAACGACAAGUUUAGAGCACCGCAAGCUAAAUCACACACAGAUGCAUGCACACAUGCACUAUAACGUGUAUCACAUAAUUACAGUCACAAACAGAGACUUGGUACAGUUGUAAAAGUGGAGAAAUGAGAGGGAAACAAGGAGUUUGUACUGCAGCAUUAAGACUUGUUCUGUUUUACACUGAGACACAGAAUCACACACACUUGCUCUCAUGUCAAUCCUCCAGAUCAAAUGUUUUUUGUCACAGGUAUAAAACCGUUGACAGCAGGUAUACAACAGUUAACAGCAGGUAUAAAACCGCUAACAGCAGGUAUAAAACCACUAACAGCAGGUAUUAAACCACUAACAGCAGGCAUUAAACCACUAACAGCAGGUAUACAACAGUUAACAGCAGGUAUAAAACCGUUGACAGCAGGUAUAAAACCGCUAACAGCAGGUAUAAAACCACUAACAGCAGGUAUAAAACCACUAACAGCAGGUAUUAAACCACUAACAGCCAGUAUUAAACCUCUAACAGCAGGUAUUAAACCACUAACAGCAGGCAUUAAACCACUAACAGCAGGUAUAAAACCACUAACAGCAGGUAUAAAACCACUAACAGCAGGUAUUAAACCACUAACAGCAGGUAUUAAACCACUAACAGCAGGUAUAAAACCGUUAACAGCAGGUAUAAAACCGUUAACAGCAGGUAUAAAACCACUAACAGCAGGUAUAAAACCACUAACAGCAGGUAUAAAACCACAAACAGCAGGUAUAAAACCACAAACAGCAGAUAUAAAACCACUAACAGCAGGUAUUAAACUGUCAAAUCAAAUUCAA